rnacentral:rRNA from 1 species
GACGAACGCUGGCGGCGUGCUUAACACAUGCAAGUCGAACGAUGAAGCUGGAGCUUGCUCCAGCGGAUUAGUGGCGAACGGGUGAGUAACACGUGAGCAAUCUGCCCUUGACUCUGGGAUAACUGCGGGAGACUGUAGCUAAUACUGGAUACUACAUUCUCUCGCAUGGGGGUGUGUGGAAAGGGUUUUACUGGUUUUGGAUGGGCUCACGGCCUAUCAGCUUGUUGGUGGGGUAAUGGCCUACCAAGGCGACGACGGGUAGCCGGCCUGAGAGGGUGACCGGCCACACUGGGACAGAGACACGGCCCAGACUCCUACGGGAGGCAGCAGUGGGGAAUAUUGCACAAUGGGCGAAAGCCUGAUGCAGCGACGCCGCGUGAGGGAUGACGGCCUUCGGGUUGUAAACCUCUUUCAGCACGGAAGAAGCGAAAGUGACGGUACGUGCAGAAGAAGCGCCGGCUAACUACGUGCCAGCAGCCGCCGUAA